AGUGCUUGCACUUUGGCAGACUGAGUGGCGGACGGGUGAGUAACGCGUGGGUAACCUGCCUUUCAGAGGGGGAUAACGUUUGGAAACGAACGCUAAUACCGCAUAACGUAUACGGAUGGCAUCGUCUGUAUACCAAAGGAGCAAUCCGCUGAAAGAUGGGCUCGCGUCCGAUUAGCUAGAUGGUGAGGUAACGGCCCACCAAGGCGACGAUCAGUAGCCGGACUGAGAGGUUGAACGGCCACAUUGGGACUGAGAUACGGCCCAGACUCC
rnacentral:rRNA from 1 species